UGGGGAAUUUUGCACAAUGGGGGAAACCCUGAUGCAGCGACGCCGCGUGUACGAUGAAGAUCUUCGGAUUGUAAAGUACUGUCCUUGGUGAAGAUAAUGACUGUAACCAAGAAGCAAGCCCUGGCUAAAUACGUGCCAGCAGCCGCGGUAAUACGUAUGGGGCAAGCGUUGUCCGGAAUUAUUGGGCGUAAAGGGUACGUAGGCGGUUAUUUAAGUCUAAAUUAAAAGGCAUUGGCUCAACCAAUGUAAGGUUUAGGUACUGGAUAACUUGAGUAGAUGAGGGGAAAGUGGAAUUCCAUGUGUAGCGGUGAAAUGCGUAGAUAUAUGGAGGAACACCAAUGGCGAAGGCAACUUUCUGGAAUCAAACUGACGCUGAGGUACGAAGGCGUGGGGAGCAAACAGG
rnacentral:rRNA from 1 species